GGAAUAGGAGACUUCUUCCGAACAAACAUUUUGACACUUUAGUGGAGGAAUGUGAAGAUGGUGCCACGAGUUUCUCCACAGGUCGACGCGCAGGCGCAGUGUUGGCCAACACUGCGCCUCUCCAUCGCAUUUCAGUGUCAGGCUUUAAACCUUGUAAAAAAACUGCAACUCCUAUUAACCGUCCAAAAAAUGUCGCAAACAAGCAAUGCAAGCGAUAAAGCUUCUCCAAUACUUCAGUCUUUUGGACCUGGAGACACUCCAGAAAGUGUCACAUCUUUUGUCAUGGAAACAAGCUCAGCGUCUAACUCAGAGGAGCAUGGCGACAGCAGAUCCUCCUCUACCUCGACAAACUUAAGCUGUUAUCCCUCCCCAGAGAUUUUAAGAAGAGAAGCAGUGGAAACACAGACUUUCCUUAUUGGAGAGGAGAUGCUUGGGAUUAUCUGUAAUGUUAAAAACUCUACCCUGCUGGAUGACAGCCAUUCGAAGAGCAUCCACACGUAUCAUCCACCCAACAUGUCCACUAUUAUAGAUGUAUCCACACACGUUGCUGAAAAGAACAAUGAGAGCAGGUGAGUGGAUAUAUUAAUACUGCUUUAAAAAAAUAACAAAAUGAUUUUAAAUGUUGUUUCAGUGCUGACAUCUCUGGAAAGAAAGCUGUUGUGCAAUUAAUUUUUAAUCAACCAGUCUUUCCCCCCCCCCCCACAAAGCUACCAGAAGGAAACUCUCACUGAAAGUAAGAUACAAAUUGAUUCAUUUCAUUUAGGAAAUAUUAUUUUUAAGCUACACGAUUUAUAAGUUUCUCUGUUUUUAUAUUAUUAAAUCCAUUUUUAUAACCAAAUUAUACCUAUGUUUCUUUGUAAUCUGCAUCUACAGAUAAAUCUCCAGAGAUGAAACUUGCACAAGAUGUAAGAAAAAUAUGUCUUUCUACAUCAUUUUAAAUGUUUUUCGUUAAUCAACUGUGUUUAUUUCAGUAGCAGUUUACUAAUUGUGUUUUUGCCCUAGUUUGUUGGGAGAAGGCCCAUAGUGUGCAGAAAAAAGGUUUCAUUCAAAAGCCCGGUCAUUUCUGAGCCUCUGAAAGAGAAACGUGCUCCAUCGCCGUCAGGCAUAAAUGACACCAUCCGGAAACUAUCCCGAGUUUCUGAGCGGACGAAACCAGAUGCACAGAUGCCCAAAAUGGAUGAAAUCAGCUCUAAAAAAGAAAUACCGGUGACCCCAAAAAGGCCUGUCGAGACUGAGAAAACCAUGUUCUUUGACUUUACCAGCAACACUGACAUGGAUGCUCUCUUUCAGAACAUGAGAGAUAGAAGUGCAAAACUUAGGUGCUCAUUUUAUUUUCCUUUUACUGUAGGCACUCAAAGCCCUCUGGGUAAUAAUAGCAAAUCUGAGUUAACCUGAAGUUAACUCUGAUACUACAGUGUACAGUUGCACAACGUAGUUUUUGCCUAAAUGACAAUAUAAAAACAUGAUUGGAACGAACAUGCUCUCUGUGAGAAAUGACUCUGACUUUAGAAGACAUAGAUAAAUUAAUAACACAAAUACAAUGGCAAAAAAGAGAACUAGCUCAUAAAUUAGUUUGAUACAACACAUGAAUGCCUUCAAAACAGUAAAUGAUUGUAUUUUCUUCUUCAGUAUAGGACAUCAAGAAAAUAAACAUACUAAUAAGAGUUUUUAAACCUUAUAAAACUAUACAAGAUGUGGGUAUAUUUUAAUAUGUAAUGUCUGUUUCUAUAGCUCUGUUUCUUCUGUAACCUCUUUUAAUGUAUCUGCAUAUUCUAUAAAGAAAAAACAAUGUUAGAGCCUGUAUAUUUAAUUCUUGUAAUUCAAAUGUGUUGUGAAUGUUGAACACUAGGUGGCGCAUCUGUAUCAGUUUUCUUGUCCUCUUUAAAAAAUAAAAAUAAGAUAUAACACGUGUUAAACGUAUGCCAACGUUUUUAUUUUAAUAUUCACAAUUCUAUA
rnacentral:lncRNA from 1 species